rnacentral:lncRNA from 1 species
GGAAGGUAUUGCAGGUAGUCUUGCCUAAGGAAAGGUGUGUUUAAUAGUGGCAAGAAAGCCUCUUGUCCCUUCUGAACUGGUUAUAGCUGUAGACUAUGGAGCCCAGAUCACAGGAUAUGAAGCAUUUGCCCUUUUACCUUUCUGCCAGCAGCACUGUUGGACUCAUGACUCCGCUCUGUGGCCAAGUCCCACAACAAUGCUUUUUUU